rnacentral:lncRNA from 1 species
GCCGCUGCCGCUCCUGCCCCGCUGCCGGCGGCUGGCCGCGCCGGCGAGCCGGGGAGCAAAGGCGAGGGGGGAGGCUCCCCCGUGGCGGGGGUCACAGUGCAGGUGGGCUCCCCGCUUGGAAGCGGAGGCGGCGCCAGAAGGCAGCGCGGGGCUUUCGGGUCUUUCCCCCCCCCACGCGGCGCCUUCGGGGGCCACUUCCCGGGGGGGGGGGGCUCAUGGCAUGUGCCAGCCCCCUGCCCGGCAAAGGGGCAGCCACAGGGGCAGCAAAGGCUCCACACAGGGAAAAGGAGGGAGGAGAGGUGCCGAGUGCGGAGCGGCGUGCGGCCCCGUGCCACCGUGCCCAGCCGCCCUGCAGGGAUCCCGGAGGCGGAUAGCGGGACACAGGCUUCCCCGCUCCGCCGUGCCAUGCAAUACCCUGCAGGAAGCUGCCCUGCUCCGGGGUCGGUGUGUGGAGACGGGGCAGCCGGGAGCACGGAAGCGGCAUCCCGGGAUGGCCCGUCCUGCGGCAAGCAGGGGCAACACCACCCGGACGCGAGGCCUGUGGCCAUCCCGGUGCAGCCCCCGACGGCGGCCAGCCGGCACGGCUCCGAGGGGAGGCACAGAAAGGCCGGUGUCGCGCUUCCCGGCUCACACGUCCCUGCUCUCCCCGCCGCUGCCGCCUCGCUCGCGCACCCAGCGCGCAGGAAAAGCAGCUCUCACCGGCAGCGACUCGCCAAACCGCGACCGUCUCCCCCGGGCUCGCGGGCGCGCUGCGGAGGCGGUCCCGGACUCACGCAGGAACGGGGGGACAGAGAGCUGGGCGAGGAGGGAAGGAGACGGGAAAGGGUUCGGAGCAAGGCGGACGAGUGCGUCGGUGCUGAUGCCGUGUCGAGGGAAGCGGGGCCGGCUCUCCGUUGCCAUGGAUUUCCUGCUGCUCCGGUCCCAGUCUCACCAGCCAGAACACAGCUCUGGUCAUGUGUAGUUUCUGCUUUAUUCCUUAGGAUAUAUUUAUAUAUGUAUAGCGGCCGAGGCCCCC